UGGUGGGAUCCAUGCCUGGUUCAUUUUAAUAAACGUGAGCUUGUCCGUUGCACUUGUCUGUGAUAACCUCAUGCCGAUCGCACAUCCCUUUGACGGCGACAACGUAUUUGGAUGUCUGCCCUAUCAACUUUCAAUGCUAUUUUCCGCGCCUACCAUAGUGACCACGGGUAACGGGGAAUCAGGGUUCGUUUCCAGAGAGAGAGCCUGAGAAACGGCUACCACAUGCAAGAAAGGCAGCAGGCGUGCAAAUUAACCACUCCCGACGCAGGGAGGUAAUGA